rnacentral:rRNA from 1 species
UGGGGAAUUUUGCACAAUGGGGGAAACCCUGAUGCAGCGACGCCGCGUGAUUUAGAAGGCCUUCGGGUUGUAAAAAUCUUUUCUAUGGGAAGAAAAUGACAGUACCAUAGGAAUAAGGACCGGCUAAUUACGUGCCAGCAGCCGCGGUAAUACGUAAGGUCCGAGCGUUGUCCGGAAUCAUUGGGCGUAAAGGGUACGUAGGCGGGUAAGCAAGUUAGAAGUGAAAUCCUAUAGCUCAACUAUAGUAAGCUUUUAAAACUGCUCAUCUUGAGGUAUGGAAGGGAAAGUGGAAUUCCGAGUGUAGCGGUGAAAUGCGCAGAUAUUAGGAGGAAUACCGGUGGCGAAGGCGACUUACUGGCCAUAACCUGACGCUGAGGUACGAAAGCGUGGGUAGCAAACAGG